GACGAACGCUGGCGGCGUGCCUAAUACAUGCAAGUAGAACGCUGAAGGAGGAGCUUGCUUCUCCGGAUGAGUUGCGAACGGGUGAGUAACGCGUAGGUAACCUGCCUGGUAGCGGGGGAUAACUAUUGGAAACGAUAGCUAAUACCGCAUAAGAGUAGAUGUUGCAUGACAUUUGCUUAAAAGGUGCAAUUGCAUCACUACCAGAUGGACCUGCGUUGUAUUAGCUAGUUGGUGAGGUAACGGCUCACCAAGGCGACGAUACAUAGCCGACCUGAGAGGGUGAUCGGCCACACUGGGACUGAGACACGGCCCAGACUCCUACGGGAGGCAGCAGUAGGGAAUCUUCGGAAAUGGACGGAAGUCUGACCGAGCAACGCCGCGUGAGUGAAGAAGGUUGUCGGAUCGUAAAGCUCUGUUGUAAGAGAAGAACGAGUGUGAGAGUGGAAAGUUCACACUGUGACGGUAUCUUACCAGAAAGGGACGGCUAACUACGUG
rnacentral:rRNA from 1 species